GCGGCGUAGCAUCGGGUGGCACCCGGGGCGGACUACCUAUUGAGCACCCCCCAAAAAAAAAGACAAAAUAUAAUCACGGACUAAAAUUGUAAAUUAAAGUAGGAACUUAAAAAUCUUGUAGAAAUCAUUCAUGCGCGAAAUUUUUGAGUUUUGGGACACAAAAGUACUCAAACAUGUGUGAAAAAAAGCACUGCAAAGAGAAGAAGCUGCGAGCGUAGCGAGCGCGAAAUUUUUGAUUUUUGGGACGCAAUGAUACCUAAAUUAGAAAGAAGACUAUGUUAACUGAAAGGCGCGAGCGCAGCGAGCGCGAAAUUUUUGAGUCUUGGAACACAAAAAUACUUAAACAAGUUUGAAAAUAAUCAGUCUAAAGUCAAAAAGCUGCGAGCGCAGCGAGCACGAAAUUUUGGAUUUUUGGGACACAAAAGUCCUCCACCUCCUAAACAACUAGCAGAAAUCGUCAGCGUAGAGCGUCAGUUGUUUUUGCUACUUCGGUGCUUUAACUUUUUUUUAGAUUGAGGACUCAAAUAGUAAACACAGAAUAAAUCAGAAAUGGUGAAAAAACCCCGCGAGCGAAGCGAGCGGAUUUUUUUUUCUAACUUUGAGGAAGUAAUUUAAGUAAUCAGGUAAAAAAAAAAGUAAGAGAGGGGUGACAGCCGGACUGGCACCCUUCUCAGUGCCGCCUAGACGUCCUGCGCAUGCACUGUUGUAGUUUUGUUUAAAAUUUGAAUAGCGUGCAGUGAAUCUAGGCUUAGCAGAUUAGAAUGGCACCCUCAGUGACUUCUGCCCGUACCAUCCUGGUCGUGCAGAUAUGUGCCGACCGAGAUGGCACCCCCCUAGACGUGGUACCCGGGGCGGACCGCCCCCUCCGCCCCCCCCUUACGCCGCUACUG
rnacentral:lncRNA from 1 species